rnacentral:rRNA from 1 species
CCCUUAGAUGUUCCGGGCCGCACACGCGCUACACUGAAGGAGGCAGCGUGUACUCCUGGAUCGAAAGAUUUGGGUAACCCGCGAAUCUCCUUCGUGCUAGGGAUUGAGGUUUGCAAUUAUCCUUCAUGAACGAGGAAUUCCCAGUAAGUGCAAGUCAUAAGCUUGCGCUGACUACGUCCCUGCCCUUUGUACACACCGCCCGUCGCUACUACCGAUUGAAUGAUUUAGUGAGGACUUCGGACUGGGACCGAUGCGGCUUUCGGGCUGCGUCGGUAUUCUGGAAAGAUGUCCAAACUGUAUCAUUUAGAGGAAGUAAAANUCGUANCA